AAUGAACGCUGGCGGCAGGCCUAACACAUGCAAGUCGAACGGACCCUUCGGGGUUAGUGGCGGACGGGUGAGUAACGCGUGGGAACGUGCCCUUUGGUUCGGAAUAGCCUCGGGAAACUGGGAGUAAUACCGGAUAAGCCCUACGGGGGAAAGAUUUAUCGCCAAAGGAUCGGCCCGCGUUGGAUUAGGUAGUUGGUGGGGUAAUGGCCUACCAAGCCGACGAUCCAUAGCUGGUUUGAGAGGAUGAUCAGCCACACUGGGACUGAGACACGGCCCAGACUCCUACGGGAGGCAGCAGUGGGGAAUCUUAGACAAUGGGGGAAACCCUGAUCUAGCCAUGCCGCGUGAUCGAUGAAGGCCUUAGGGUUGUAAAGAUCUUUCAGUUGGGAAGAUAAUGACGGUACCAACAGAAGAAGCCCCGGCUAACUCCGUGCCAGCCGCCGCGGUAA
rnacentral:rRNA from 1 species